UCCAUGCACCAAUUGAUGCUCCAUCAUCCACAUUUGGGAUCCAAUGCUGUGUGCAACACAUGUUGUUGCACCUUUGACUAAUUUCUGAAACAUUUCACCUCCCCUUUUCAUUUCCAUGCAAUGAACAUAAUCAUUCAUGCUCCCUAGCUGAAAUACCACUCCAUUUUACCCUCCAUACUUUGCAUCAUUGCUCCAUUUUCAUCCUUGGACCAUUGCACACCACAAAUUCACCCUCCUUGCUGUGCAUUUCCCCCACUGCCUAAUUUGAUUCUCUAGGGUUUUUGGGGCCUAUAUAUACAUGUUUACAACCCUUGGCAAAGGGUUGAACCUCCCAUAUUCAUCAUUCAUCACAGAAAAUUCGUCCAUGCACACCCUAGGCAACCAAACACCCCAAAAACACCAUUCUAGUGCCCAGAAAACAUAACAGCCACUCCACCUUCUUCCACCCUCUUUGCCGAGUUCUCUACCAUCCUCCAACCAUCAAACACUCCUCCACACUCGCCCUAAACCUCUUCAUACCAUUCCCCAUCCAUUCUACACCAUAAAACUACCCAAAACAUCUUCACAACCCAAUCUGCCGCAAGCAAGGAAGGGGACAGAUUCACUACGAUUGUUUGGCUCUUCAUUCUGAGUUGUUGAACGAUUUUAGGUGUUUUCUAUCUUAUAUUUCAAUGUCUAAUUCAUAUAAUCUUUGUUUUGCUUUAAGUAUGAUUGGCUAAAUUUGUUUUGGCUAAGGGUGGAUUCAAAACCAUGAUUAUAUAUGUGAAAUAAGUUGAUUACUUUCAGUUAUCAUUGUAUAAGUCGUGAAUACAAUUUGCUUAACCGUUUGAUUUAGAACUUAUUCUUGUAUGUUGGUUGAGAGUGCAAGCUUAAUUUGCAUGCUUGAAUUUGAUGCUAGGAUGUAAAUUUGUUUCACCUAAUCGUUAUGAAUUUAUAUUCGUAAGUAGUGAAGGUCGCUAGUCACGAUCGUGUUAAGUAGAUUCCUGGCAAGAGUAUCAUGCUUUUCAUAGUUACGAAUGCCUUGUCGAUGCUUACAAUUUCCAAAGAACGUAAUGAUUCUAACUUGUGUCUUUAUCAUGCUGUUCAUAUAAAGAACUUGUUAGGAAUAAUUUGUUUGCGAUGCAUAUUCAUCCAAUUCAAUGAUUCUAGGGAAAUCUGAAGAUUAAUUUAAGCGGACCUAAUUAACUUGGAGUGUCGAGAUUCAUAACUUAUUCAAUUGAUAACUGGAAAUCGAUUUAGGUUGCAUAUAUUUCAUGUGUGGAGAAGAACCCCUUAGCCAUUCCAUCAUCCAUUGAUUCUUCAUAACUUUGUAUUACAAUCUGUUUCUCUUACAAUCUGCCAUUUAAGUUUAUUUUCGUCCAAAUCAAUUCCCCAAUUAUUUUGAAUUCCUAGAUUAAUUGGAAAGUGUGUUGGUUUAUGUUUUUAAGUGUUUUGGUACAAGUUAAAACCCAAAUUCGUCCAAUUUGAUGCUUUGUGUUCAAAACUACCCAGAAAGUGUUUUUAAGGCAGUUUUGAAUCUUUUGAUUGCUGUUUUGAGUUUUUGGUUUGUUUUAGUAUUUUAAACGUGAGUUUUGCAUUCUUUGAGUCUAAUCUAGUGCUUUAAACUUUGUUUUUACAUUUCUAAGUCAGUUUUCAAGUGUUUAGCAAUCCCUCCUAAUCCCCGAUCUAGAACGAUCCCUAUUUACAUACUUUGUUACAAUUGAUAAAAAGAGGGUUUAAUUUUGUGUGUUAAUUUAUUUUUCACAUCAUCCUCGUCGGCACACUUCCGGCCAAGGAUUAGCUCUGAUACCAUUUGUCACAUCCCCGCCCGGGUUCAUCAUAUCUCGGCCCCGGUCCACCAUAUCCCAGGCUCAUUCCACCACCGUAGCACGAUAUUGUCAGCUUUAGGCUUACCAUUCCAUCAUGAUUUUGUUUUUAGGAAUUCACGAGAAACUUCCUAAUAGGUCACCCAUCCUGGGAGUGCUCUGACCUCCUUCUCACUUAACUUCGGAGUUCCUACAGAACCCGAAGCUAGUGAGCUCCCAAAAGGCCUCGUGCUAGGUAGGGAUGAGAAUAUACAUUUAAGGAUCACUCCCCUGGGCGAUGUGGGAUGUUACAUAAUUGGUUGUACAAAUUUUAGAUAGGAUUUUUAUCUAUGUGAGAUUUCUUAUCUUCAGCUUCCAAUGUUAAUAAAUUGGCUAGAUAUUGGGGUAGAAUUCACACAUCUUCAUCUUUGCCCUCUCCAAUAUCUCUUUCAAUUCAAGUUUGAAAUGAAUUCUAACUCUGGAUCCUCUUCACAUUCCAACUGGGGGUCCUCAUCCAAUUCCAAAUUGGAAGAUAAAUGGGUGCAGAUAAGACGAGAAGAUGAUGAGUCCGAUGAAAAAGAUGAAGCAUGGCACAACACAACAUAUAUGGGCAGCAAUGGUUGGGGUCAUGGUGUGUGAGGAAACUGAAAAACAACCUCAAUGGAGUAGCUCUAUUGCUAGUCGUUUUUACAAACCACGAAAUAGAGAGAUCGCAUAUGAGACUCUGAUGAAUAACUACUUCAACUCCAACUCAGUGUACACAAAAGAAGAUUUCAAAUGUCCAUUCUGGAUGAGGCUUCAUGUCUUCGAGUGUUUGCUUCAUGAUGUCCAACAUGUCAGUCCAUACUUUCGAUAGAAGAUGGAUAGGGCAAGCCGCUAAGGUUUCUCACCUCACCAAAAGGUUACUAUUGCACACCGAAUGAUGGCCUAUGCUUCCCCAGCUUAUGCGAUGAAUGAUACAUAUGGUAUGUCUGAGCCUACAUGCCUUGAUAAUCUUGCUGAAUUCUGUCACACAGUUGUUCAGAUUUACAAAGAGAAGUACCUCCGUGAAUCAAAUUAAGCAGAUCUAGCUCGGCUCUUUUACAAAGUUGAAGAACUGUCCCACUAGAUGGCAAUGAGGAUUUAGUGGAAGAUUAAGAAAGCCAACUAUUGUGUUAGAUGUGGCUGCCUCGUUUGACACAUGGAUAUGGCAUGUUUUCAUUAGAGUCCUAGGAUCCCAAAAUGACAUUACAGUACUCGGGCGUUCACCCCUCUUUAAUAACUUGACGGAGAGUAAAUCACCUUAACUUGACUACUACUACAAUAUGGGGUAUUACUUGGUAGAUAGCAUCUACCCAAAGUGGGCGACACUUGUCCAAGCAAUUGCAAACCCUGUGGAUGACGCCCAAAUGUGGUUUACCUUACAACAAGGUGCAUACCGGAAAGAUGUUGAGAGAGCUUUUGAUAUUUUACAAGCACGGUGGAAGAUCGUUAAGGAAUCGGCAAGAAGGUGAAGUCCAGAUAAAAACUUCAUCAUGAUGUCGUGCAUCAUAUUACACAACAUGAUUGUGGAGGAUGAGCAAGAUGACUAUAUUGAUGCAGAGUCUGAUGACUACCAAGAUGAUCCAUAUAGGUCAAGGAGGGCUUGUACGAAAAUAUAAGAUCGGCCUAAUUUGCCUUUAGAUCCAAGAACUGGUAAUAUCUAUUUAUACAUAAGGCGUCAUAUGAUGAUACGUUCGUGUGCCACAAACAAGUACCUACAAUAGAAUCUUGUUGCACAUCUUUGAGCCAAAAGAACCAUGUAGUAGGCAUUUAAAAUUUAUGUUGUUAAAUGUUUUGUUUAAUGUUGUUUAAGUUUCAUGUUGUUUAACUUUGAAUAACUCGCCCGAUUAAUACUAGGGUGGAGAUUGUGUUGUUUAAUUUAAAGAGUACAACCUAAAUAUUAAAAAGGAAGACUUUAAUUGUGGUCCCUGGCUAUGAAUAUUAUUUGACUAAAGCCUUAUUGGUUUUCAAUUUUUUAUCGAAAUCCCUAAAUUAAUCGAAGCCAUAUUCAAAGAAGAUCGACGCCUUAAGGAUGCCGAAGGGUUAUCAACCGCCAAAGUUCAUGCAAUUUGAUGGAAAGGGAAACCCGAAACAGCACGUUGCCCACUCGCCAAGCAGUUUGUGCGCUCGCUAAAAGGAAACGCCUUUGAGUGAUACACGGACCUAGAGCCUGAGUCCAUCAACAACUGGGAGCAAUUGGAGCGGGAAUUCCUCAA
rnacentral:lncRNA from 1 species